GCGCGAAAACUUUACAAUGCUGGCAACAGCGAUAAGGGGACCUCGAGUGCCAGGUUACAAAUCUGGCUGUCGAGAUGCCUGAAAAGCAUUGCAUAGCAAGGGCCGGGCAAGACCGGUGCCAGCCGCCGCGGUAACACCGGCGGCUCGAGUGGUAACCGUUAUUAUUGGGUCUAAAGGGUCUGUAGCCGGCCGGGUAAGUCUCUUGGGAAAUCCAGCAGCUUAACUGUUGGGCUUUCAGGAGAUACUGCCUGGCUCGAGGCCGGGAGAGGUGAGAGGUACUUCAGGGGUAGGGGUGAAAUCUUGUAAUCCUUGAAGGACCACCAGUGGCGAAGGCGUCUCACCAGAACGGACCUGACGGCAAGGGACGAAAGCUAGGGGCACGAACC
rnacentral:rRNA from 1 species